CCUACGGGCGGCAGCAGUGAGGAAUAUUGGUCAAUGGACGAGAGUCUGAACCAGCCAAGUAGCGUGAAGGAUGACUGCCCUCUGGGUGGUAAACUUCUUUUAUAAAGGAAUAAAACGAGGCACGUGUGCCUUUUUGCAUGUACUUUACGAAUAAGGAUCGGCUAACUCCGGGCCAGCAGCCGCGGUAAUCCGGAGGGCCCGGGCGUUAUCCGGAUUUAUUGGGUUUAAAGGGAGCGUAGAUGGGUUGUUAAGUCAGUUGUGAAAGUUUGCGGCUCAACCGUAAAAUUGCAAUUGAUACUGGCAGUCUUGAGUACAGGUGAGGUAGGCGGAAUUCGUGGUGUAGCGGUGAAAUGCGUAGAUAUCACGAAGAACCCCGAUUGCGAAGGCAGCUUACUAAACUGUGACUGACAUUGAUGCUCGAAAGUGUGGGUAUCAAACAGGAUUAGAUACCCGGGUAGUC
rnacentral:rRNA from 1 species